UACGAAGGGUGCAAGCGUUACUCGGAAUUACUGGGCGUAAAGGGUGCGUAGGUGGUUGUUUAAGUCUGCUGUGAAAGCCCCGGGCUCAACCUGGGAAUGGCAGUGGAUACUGGACAGCUAGAGUGCGGUAGAGGGUAGUGGAAUUCCCGGUGUAGCAGUGAAAUGCGUAGAGAUCGGGAGGAACACCAGUGGCGAAGGCGGCUACCUGGACCAGCACUGACACUGAGAGACGAAAGCUAGGGGAGCGAAUGGG
rnacentral:rRNA from 1 species